UGGGGAAUUUUGGACAAUGGGCGCAAGCCUGAUCCAGCAAUGCCGCGUGCAGGAAGAAGGCCUUCGGGUUGUAAACUGCUUUUGUACGGAACGAAACGGCGAGCUCUAAUACAGUUUGCUAAUGACGGUACCGUAAGAAUAAGCACCGGCUAACUACGUGCCAGCAGCCGCGGUAAUACGUAGGGUGCGAGCGUUAAUCGGAAUUACUGGGCGUAAAGCGUGCGCAGGCGGUUUUGUAAGACAGGUGUGAAAUCCCCGGGCUUAACCUGGGAACUGCAUUUGUGACUGCAAAGCUAGAGUACGGUAGAGGGGGAUGGAAUUCCGCGUGUAGCAGUGAAAUGCGUAGAUAUGUGGAGGAAUACCGAUGGCGAAGGCAGCCCCCUGGGUCGAUACUGACGCUCAUGCACGAAAGCGUGGGGAGCAAACAGG
rnacentral:rRNA from 1 species